CCCAUGGCGUAGUGGUCACUGCACUCGCCUUGCACGCGGGAGACCCGGGUUCGAUUCCCGGCGGG
rfam:Asian citrus Psyllid, Diaphorina citri - Florida Strain, whole genome shotgun sequence.